ACGUCAAGUCCUCAUUGGCCCUUAUAGGUGGGGCUACACACGUCAUACAAUGGCCGGUACAGAGGGUAGCCAACCCGCGAGGGGAGCCAAUCCCACAAAGCCGGUCGUAGUCCGGAUCGCAGUCUGCAACUCGACUGCGUGAAGUCGGAAUCGCUAGUAAUCGCGGAUCAGCAUGUCGCGGUGAAUACCGUUCCCGGUCUU
rnacentral:rRNA from 1 species